CCUACGGGAGGCAGCAGUGAGGAAUAUUGGACAAUGGGCGCGAGCCUGAACCAGCGAAGUAGCGUGAAGGAUGACUGCCCUACGGGUUGUAAACUUCUUUUAUAAAGGAAUAAAGUGAGGCACGGGUGCCUUUUUGUAUGUACUUUAUGAAUAAGGAUCGGCUAACGCCGUGCCAGCAGCCGCGGUAAUACGUAGUAGCCGAGCGUUAGCCGGAUUGAUUGGGGUUAAAGGAAGCGUAGAUGGGUUGUUAAGUCAGUUGUGAAAGUCUGCGGCUCAACCGUAAAAUUGCAAAUGAUACUGGCAGUCUUGAGUACAGUUGAGGUAGGCGGAAUUCGUGGUGUAGCGGUGAAAUGCGUAGAUAUCACGAAGAACUCCGAUUGCGAAGGCAGCUUACUAAACUGCCACUGACAUUGAUGCUCGAAAGUGUGGGUAUCAAACAGGAUUAGAUACCCGUGUAGUC
rnacentral:rRNA from 1 species